GAGAGGCUGGACCACAGACAUGUUAACCUCGACGACCAUAUCCGGGCAAUAGCCAGUAGCUCAGACGGAAUGCUGUCGUUGAGAGAUCUAAAGAAGAUACUGGAUGACAGCUGGAUCACCUUGGAUGAGAAGCAGUUCCACAAGCUCAACAUAUCGCUUGGUUUCAAAGACGGAAAAAUGUCCUGUUCGGCUUUCCUGGAUAAGUAUGAUGAGCACCAGGCCAGAGAGCAGAACCAGGCCUCGGGGGGUAACCAUGGUAACCUGCGGGCUAAGCCACGCCUCC